GGGUGUUCCUUUGUUAAACUGACAUCAGUUUAAGAGAGGGAAUGUUAAAUAAAUUAAUCAUGUUUUGUUUGACCAAGUAUUAUUAGUUUGUUCUAGUCUUUGGGUAGUUGCAGAUUUUUUAGCAGAUAUUUUGCAAUUCUGUUAGUCCUAUUUUCCGUUGUAAUCUUGCUAUUUAAGCAAGUGAUGAGCUGCUGAAUAGAUAUGUCUUUUGACUUCCUCUGUUUAUAUGUCUGUUUUGCUCUGUUUUUUAUUUAACACUACGAAGUUUUGAUGGCC
rnacentral:misc_RNA from 1 species